GAAAGAUGAAAAGAACUUUGAAAAGAGAGUUAAACAGUACGUGAAAUUGUUGAAAGGGAAACGAUUGAAGCCAGUCGUACCUAUGGGUAAUCAGCCUUUUGGGUGUGAUUCUGUGGAGUGUGAGGAGCUUAAACACCUUCAUGUUUUGCAUAUUCGUACUCUUGGGUGUACUUGCCCGUGUGGUUGGUUAACAUCAAUUUUGGUGGUCAUAAAAUGACUGGAGGAAUGUAGCUUCGAUCUUGUAUUGAAGUGUUAUA
rnacentral:rRNA from 1 species